rnacentral:tRNA from 1 species
AUUUAUUUGGCAGAAAUCAUGCGAUUGAUUUAGAAUCAAUAUAUACAGUAUAAUGUAAUAAAAU